rnacentral:rRNA from 1 species
AGAGUUUGAUUCUGGCUCAGGAUGAACGCUAGCGACAGGCUUAACACAUGCAAGUCGAGGGGCAUCACGGGAGUAGCAAUACAACUGGUGGCGACCGGCGCACGGGUGAGUAACGCGUAUGCAACCUACCUAUCAGAGGGGAAUAACCCGGCGAAAGUCGGACUAAUACCGCAUAAAACAGGGGCACCGCAUGGUGAUAUUUGUUAAAGAAAUUCGCUGAUAGAUGGGCAUGCGUUCCAUUAGGUAGUUGGUGAGGUAACGGCUCACCAAGCCGACGAUGGAUAGGGGAACUGAGAGGUUGGUCCCCCACGCUGGUACUGAGACACGGACCAGACUCCUACGGGAGGCAGCAGUGAGGAAUAUUGGUCAAUGGGCGGGAGCCUGAACCAGCCAAGUCGCGUGAAGGAAGAAGGAUCUAUGGUUCGUAAACUUCUUUUGCAGGGGAAUAAAGUGCAGGACGUGUCCUGUUUUGUAUGUACCCUGAGAAUAAGGAUCGGCUAACUCCGUGCCAGCCGCCGC